CACGUAGGCACCAAGCGUUGUCCGGAUUUAUUGGGAGUAAAGAGCUCGUAGGCGGUUCAGUAAGUCGGGUGUGAAAACUCUGGGCUCAACCCAGAGACGCCACCCGAUACUGCUGUGACUUGAGUACGGUAGGGGAGUGGGGAAUUCCUGGUGUAGCGGUGAAAUGCGCAGAUAUCGGGAGGAACACCGGUGGCGAAGGCGGUUCUCUGGGAAUUACCUGACGCUGAGGAGCGAAAGCAUGGGGAGCGAACAGG
rnacentral:rRNA from 1 species